AAGCUCUUUGGGAUAGGGAGCACAUCUUAAAUAUAUUUGCACAGAGGGGUGUAACAGUGGUGUAUUUAUUAUAUGCUCAUACAUCUUAGUUCUAUAGGCAUUUAAAUUACUCUGACCAAUCCAGGUAUAGUCUAUGGCUGUGAGGCACUUUUUUUUUUUCCCCCUUCCUAGCAGUACCUCUCUGAUCCAGUGGGACAAUUCUGUUUUACUGAUGUUCCAGGGACAUGGUGUGAGAGAAGUGUAUGUUUAAUAUGUAAAAGGCCAAACUCUGCUCCCAUUUACACCAGUGCAAUCCCAAUGACUCCAUUUUACACAGAAGAUUACUUAUAUUAUCUGAACUGGCUGCUUCUUUAGAUGAUGAUGAUGAGACUCUGGCUGUGUUGCUUCCAAUGAUGGACUGACUUUUCUGUAAACGAUGUUAAUGAGAUUUUCAAAUAGUCCUACUUCUUAAGCAACGUUGGAGACUGAAGUCAAUAUUCAUCCAUCCAUCACAUGAAAUUACAAAAAUACACAGGUCAGAAGGCUUCUUUUCCAGGCAGUUAAGCAAAAUAGCUGUAACACUCUAAAGUAAACUAAAUUUAGUUUUGUACAUAUGCUAAAUACAUAUGUAUUUGAUAAAACACACGAUUUUAAGGAGCCCCAGAUAAUUUUAAAUCAACAAACUAUUGUCUUUUGUAGAACAUGCGACUCAGACUUGGAUUCUGCCCUGAAUAAAUAUAAAUGCUUUAAAAAUUCUUUACAGGAUAGAGUGCUGCAGAAAGACCGCUAUGGGCCCCAGCCCUGCAAACACUUGAGUUACUAGACACAGGAGUCAUCUCAAACUACUGCCAUGCAUAAAGUUAUUCACACAUGUCAACAUUUGCAGAUUUGGGGCUUUAGAUUGUAAACUCUUUGGGGCAGGGUUGCUUCUUUCUUUUAUAUUUGUGUAAAGUCUAGCACAUUGUGGGCACUCUUGGAAAUGGAUAAUAGGCAGAGCAUUUAAUAUAGAAAGUAGGUAAUUCAGUGCAUAAUAAUGUUCAUUGGAAGAUAAAUCAAUCCAUUACAGACUUUCAGUUCCUUUCUGAUCUUUUUCUCCUUUUGUCUGUAGGAAGAGGCUAUAUUUUUGCUUUCCUAAUGUCUGCUGAAAGUCUCUCAGAACCCUCUGCU